AACAGGAUUAGAUACCCUGGUAGUCCACGCCGUAAACGAUGAGUGCUAAGUGUUAGAGGGUUUCCGCCCUUUAGUGCUGCAGCAAACGCAUUAAGCACUCCGCCUGGGGAGUACGGUCGCAAGACUGAAACUCAAAGGAAUUGACGGGGGCCCGCACAAGCGGUGGAGCAUGUGGUUUAAUUCGAAGCAACGCGAAGAACCUUACCAGGUCUUGACAUCCUCUGACAACCCUAGAGAUAGGGCUUCCCCUUCGGGGGCAGAGUGACAGGUGGUGCAUGGUUGUCGUCAGCUCGUGUCGUGAGAUGUUGGGUUAAGUCCCGCAACGAGCGCAACCCUUGAUCUUAGUUGCCAGCAUUCAGUUGGGCACUCUAAGGUGACUGCCGGUGACAAACCGGAGGAAGGUGGGGAUGACGUCAAAUCAUCAUGCCCCUUAUGACCUGGGCUACACACGUGCUACAAUGGGCAGAACAAAGGGCAGCGAAGCCGCGAGGCUAAGCCAAUCCCACAAAUCUGUUCUCAGUUCGGAUCGCAGUCUGCAACUCGACUGCGUGAAGCUGGAAUCGCUAGUAAUCGCGGAUCAGCAUGCCGCGGUGAGUACGUUCCCGGGCCUUGUACACACCGCCCGUCACACCACGAGAGUUUGUAACACCCGAAGUCGGUGAGGUAACCUUUUGGAGCCAGCCGCCGAAGGUGGGACAGAUGAUUGGGGUGAAGUCGUAACAAGGUAACC
rnacentral:rRNA from 1 species